rnacentral:tRNA from 2 species
GCCCGCGUGGUGGAAUUGGUAGACACGCAAGACUUAAAAUCUUGUUCACGUAAGUGAGUUCCGGUUCAAGUCCGGACGCGGGCACCA